AUGUUAGCGGCGGACGGGUGAGUAACACGUGGAUAACCUACCUAUAAGACUGGGAUAACUUCGGGAAACCGGAGCUAAUACCGGAUAAUAUUUUGAACCGCAUGGUUCAAAAGUGAAAGACGGUCUUGCUGUCACUUAUAGAUGGAUCCGCGCUGCAUUAGCUAGUUGGUAAGGUAACGGCUUACCAAGGCAACGAUGCAUAGCCGACCUGAGAGGGUGAUCGGCCACACUGGAACUGAGACACGGUCCAGACUCCUACGGGAGGCAGCAGUAGGGAAUCUUCCGCAAUGGGCGAAAGCCUGACGGAGCAACGCCGCGUGAGUGAUGAAGGUCUUCGGAUCGUAAAACUCUGUUAUUAGGGAAGAACAUAUGUGUAAGUAACUGUGCACAUCUUGACGGUACCUAAUCAGAAAGCCACGGCUAACUACGUGCCAGCAGCCGCGGUAAUACGUAGGUGGCAAGCGUUAUCCGGAAUUAUUGGGCGUAAAGCGCGCGUAGGCGGUUUUUUAAGUCUGAUGUGAAAGCCCACGGCUCAACCGUGGAGGGUCAUUGGAAACUGGAAAACUUGAGUGCAGAAGAGGAAAGUGGAAUUCCAUGUGUAGCGGUGAAAUGCGCAGAGAUAUGGAGGAACACCAGUGGCGAAGGCGACUUUCUGGUCUGUAACUGACGCUGAUGUGCGAAAGCGUGGG
rnacentral:rRNA from 1 species